AUUGAACGCUGGCGGCAUGCUUUACACAUGCAAGUCGAACGGCAGCGCGGGCUUCGGCCUGGCGGCGAGUGGCGAACGGGUGAGUAAUACAUCGGAACGUGCCCAGCAGUGGGGGAUAGCUCGGCGAAAGCCGGAUUAAUACCGCAUACGACCUGAGGGUGAAAGCGGGGGAUCUUCGGACCUCGCGCUAUUGGAGCGGCCGAUGGCAGAUUAGCUAGUUGGUGGGGGAAAGGCCUACCAAGGCGACGAUCUGUAGCUGGUCUGAGAGGACGACCCGCCACACUGGGACUAAGACACGGCCCAGACUCCUACGGGAGGCAGCGGUGGGGAAUUUUGGGCAAUGGGCGAAAGCCUGAUCCAGCAAUGCCGCGUGUGUGAUGAAGGCCUUCGGGUUGUAAAGCACUUUUGGCGGGAACGAAAAGGACUGUACCAAUACCACGGUUCGAUGACGGUACCCGCAGAAUAAGCACCGGCUAACUACGUG
rnacentral:rRNA from 1 species